rnacentral:rRNA from 1 species
AUUGAACGCUGGCGGCAGGCCUAACACAUGCAAGUCGAGCGGUAACAGGGGAAGCUUGCUUCUCGCUGACGGGCGGCGGACGGGUGAGUAAUGUAUGGGGAUCUGCCCGAUAGAGGGGGAUAACUACUGGAAACGGUAGCUAAUACCGCAUAAUCUCUUAGGAGCAAAGCAGGGGAACUUCGGUCCUUGCGCUAUCGGAUGAACCCAUAUGGGAUUAGCUAGUAGGG